AGAAAUUUAGGUUAAUACUAAACCAAGGACCUUCAAAGUCCUAAAUAGAGAGUAAGCCCCUCUAACUUCUG
rnacentral:tRNA from 2 species